AUUGAACGCUGGCGGCAGGCCUAACACAUGCAAGUCGAGCGAGCGGCGGACGGGUGAGUAAUGUCUGGGAACCUGCCUGAUGGAGGGGGAUAACUACUGGAAACGGUAGCUAAUACCGCAUACCAUCAGAUUUGCCCAGAUGGGAUUCGCUAGUAGGUGGGGUAACGGCUCACCUAGGCGAAGAUCCCUAGCUGUUCUGAGAGGAUGACCAGCAACACUGGACCGGAGAAACGGGCACGACACCUACGGGAGGCAGCAGUGGGGAAGCUUGCACAAUGGGCGAAAGCCUGAUGCAGCCAGGCCGCGGGUGUGAAGAAGGCCUUCGGGUUGUAAAGCACUUGCAGCGGGGAGGCGUUAACCGCAGAAGAAGCACAGGCUAACUCCGAGCCAGCAGCCGCGGUAAUAC
rnacentral:rRNA from 1 species